CCUACGGGAGGCAGCAGUGAGGAAUAUUGGUCAAUGGACGAGAGUCUGAACCAGCCAAGUAGCGUGAAGGAUGACUGCCCUAUGGGUUGUAAACUUCUUUUAUAUGGGAAUAAAACGUUCCACGUGUGGGAUUUUGUAUGUACCAUAUGAAUAAGGAUCGGCUAACUCCGUGCCAGCAGCCGCGGUAAUACGGAGGAUCCGAGCGUUAUCCGGAUUUAUUGGGUUUAAAGGGAGCGUAGGUGGAUUGUUAAGUCAGUUGUGAAAGUUUGCGGCUCAACCGUAAAAUUGUAGUUGAAACUGGCAGUCUUGAGUACAGUAGAGGUGGGCGGAAUUCGUGGUGUAGCGGUGAAAUGCUUAGAUAUCACGAAGAACUCCGAUUGCGAAGGCAGUUCACUGGACUGCAACUGACACUGAGGCUCGAAAGUGUGGGUAUCAAACAGGAUUAGAUACCCUAGUAGUC
rnacentral:rRNA from 1 species